UGGUACCCGGGUAGGUAAUGGGCACAAAGUCUUAGGAACCGUUACCCACCGGAUCCAAUUUUUUUGCCGAGAAGACCUACCCAUUCACCCAAAUACCUACCCAUUGGACACGGGGCCGAGCCCUAACGCCCACCACUUCAUUAUUCGGCGAAAACCACAAUUUUCAUAAAAUGUGGCAGUGGUGUCCCCUCUCCCCUUCUCUCUAUCUUAGGUUGUCUGCUAUGUGCUGUCAAUAUUUAUUAAUUUUAUAAUUUAUACUCUGUCGAUUCUCAGGCGCGUUUUGGCGUCUACCUGGUUGAUCAGGAAUGAGGUUGAGUUGCGAUCAACCGCAUUUUUGUGUCAACCUGGUUGAACUGAACCAAUGUUUUGGCGACAACUGAUAUUUCCCCCCUUGGUUGAGGUUCAACUUCAACCGCCAGUCUAUAUGGCCGAGUUCUACCAUGGUCCUAGAGCAUGGUAGAACCAGAACCGAAGCAGACGACCCAACCCCUUUUUCUUUGCCGAAUACAAUUGUUAUAUGGCAACAAAGCAUUCACGAAUAAUUUCAAAAAACUAGCAGACGUUAUUAUUAUUAUUUUUUCAUUUUCCCUAGUCCACAUUUUUUCUUGAAGACUGGCGGAAAAAAAUAGAAGGGGUAAAAUUAGAAACAAGAAAAUAAAAUAAUUAACAAAACUUUCGAACCUGAUGCAGUAAUCAGUUGGGCACACUGAAUCGAGAAUCGAUAGCGUAUAAAUUAUAAAAAUAAUAAAUAUUGACAGCACAUAGUAGACAACCUAAGAUAGAGAGAAGGGGAGAGGGGACACCGCUGCCACAUUUUAUGAAAAUUGUGGUUUUGCCGAAUAAUGAAGUGGUGGGCGUGACUAGGGAUCGGCCCCGACCCUAAUCGGGGUGCAUUUUGCCCAUCGGGCUUCGAAAUUCGGGGCCCAGGGCGGGGCGUUCAGGGCUCAGGGUGAAAAUUUUUGAACCCCGAUCUCAAUCGGGGUUUUAUCAGGGUGCCUAAUCGGUGCUGCAACCCCGAUUGCAAUCAAUCGAUCGAGUCGAAAUCGAUUAUUAUGAUGAAAAUAGGGGAGUUCAACCCGGUUUCCCCGAUGAAAACCCGACCCAAAUUCGUAGUUUAAAUUCAGGCGCCAUUUUUGCAAAUGGCGUCGGGCAAGCGGGUUAACCUCCAUUUUCGCCCCGCCCCGCCCUGGCUGACGAAAUUGAGCCCCGAUUCAGCCCCGAUUGUCUUUUCCCGGGGUUGGGCGGUUAACCCGAUUAUGUCUAAUCGGGGCCGAUCCCUAGGUGUGACUUCGGCUCAACUUUCAUUUUGGUGUCAACUGAAAUGUAAACUUGGUUAGUCCGACUUCGACCAACCGAGUUGAUCUAAAAUCCAUUUUGGUGUCAACCUUAUGGUUGAGUUCAACUCAACCAGGUAGACGCCAAAACGCGCCUUCGAUUCAGUGUGCCCAACUGAUUACUGCAUAAGGUUCGAAAGUUUUGUUAAUUCUUUUAUUUUCUUGUUCCUAAUUUUACCCCUUCUAUUUUUUUCCGCCAGUCUUCAAGAAAAAUUGUGGACAAGGGAAAAUGAAAAAAAAAAUAAUAAUAAUGACGUCUGCUAGUUUUUUUUUAUUAUUCGUGAAUGCUUUGUUGCCAUAUAACAAUUGUAUUCGGCAAAGAAAAAGGGGUUGGGUCGUCUGCUUCGGUUCUGGUUCUACCGUGCUCUAGGACCAUGGUAGAACUCGGCCAUAUAGACUGGCGGUUGAAGUUGAACCUCAACCAAGGGGGGAAAUAUCAGUUGUCGCCAAAACAUUGGUUCAGUUCAACCAGGUUGACACAAAAAUGCGGUUGAUCGCAACUCAACCUCAUUCCUGAUCAACCAGGUAGACGCCAAAACGCGCCUAUGGUUGGUUUUGCAGAACUUUUUGCAAGGCUACACAGCGGCUACUACCAUAACGACUUGCGCCAUCUCUCCUCCCAAUUUCAAACGUUUUUUUGUUUUGAAGUUUUGUUUGGGUAGCUUGACAAGCCAGUGUGGCUGUGGCUACUGGCUAGCCCGUGAAAUUUGUGUUUUUGAAAUGAUAACGAGGCAGGUAAAGGUGUUUUAAUCAACAGAACCCCAUUAAGUUUUAACUACGGGAAUUUUGGAUGUCGAAGGGAAAAAGUCUCAAGAACUGCUACUUCGAAGUCAGGUAUCAAUAACGUUUUGGCCGACAUAAGAAGAAAGCUUUUUAACUCUUGGAGGGAUGGUAGUACACAGGCCUUCCUGUUCUACACCAAACCUACUCGAAAAAGACAAGCAAACAAUUUCUGGUUUAUUGGGCCAGAUGCUGAAAAGUUUUGAGACAGUUCUGACGGGAAUGAUGGAAAUGGUGGUGGUCUCCAGAAUAAUAUCGAGAGUCUAUUCAACAGCUGAAAAUCCAAGGCAAUCCAUGAUAAAAAAAGUAUGGAAGUGACCGAUGAGAGUCUCAUCACGAUAUAAUAGGAAAGGAUACUGUACCAACAUGGUCUCCGUGGUGGACUCCGACCCUUCGGUGGGAUCGCGUGCCAAGUUUUGCCCUACUUGACGAGUGUCGCCGCCGAACGGUCGGUGCCGCCGAAUGGUCGGUGUCGCCGCCGAACGGUCGGUGCCGCCGAAUGGUCGGUGUCGCCGCCGAACGGUAUUCGGUUGUCACAAUAUUCAAAAAUAUUUUGUGUAUUUAUGAAUAAUACAUAUUUUUGCACAUGUGCCUUU